GUGUUCGACGACGGCUACAGGUGGUUCUCGACGCCUGGACUUCUCGGCAACGCUGCAGAUGUGGUCGGAGCAGCAUGCGUCCUUGGCACGGAUUGGGCGUCAGCAGCAGCAGGGGAUGGCAAUAGGGGUCCAUGAGUGCUGGGUAAAUUUUAUUUCCUUCUUUUCUAUGGGUUAGCUUCUCUCUAUUUCCUUCUUUUCAAGAAAUUUAACACUCUAGAUUUUUAGUUAAUUGAUUGAAACCCGGUGACUGCAACAGUGGGCUGGGGUGCUUCUCUGGCUCACCAUUUCUCUCGCAUAGUACGUAUACACAUACAUAUACAUAUAUAUUGAUAAUUUUAUUUUUCUGGGUAUUAUUUGUAGUGGGGUUUUGGUUUUGGUUUUUCGAUCUUAUUAUUAGGUUGAUGUGGUUCUAAGAGGGUACAGUGGGUACAACACGAGGUGGGCUCUGAAGGUUAUAGAGAAGGUUUUUCCGGCGGCUGAUCAUGGCGAAGCUCCACUAGCCGUGACUGUGUUCUUCGGUGCAAACGACGCAUGUCUUCCAGGAUGAUGCUCUGCUUUUCAAUACGUGCCUCUUGCAAGUAUAAGUGAAACCUUCACUCCAUUGUCUUCUUCCUCAAGGAGUGCUUAAAUGGAGAGUUUCUUCAAGUUGGUCUCAAGUUUGUUCCACUAGCUGGAUAUCACUGGUUUGAUGGAGAUGGGUAUAUAUAUUGACUUCAUUAUUCUAAAAACUUAUUUAAUGAGUAUAUAUAUUGACGUCUUCAACAAGAAGAAUACUUUGGAGCUCCCAAAUUCAUGAAGGAUGCUGUGGACGUCCAUGAUAGUUUAGCUGCUGAAGUUGAACAUGGUGAUGCUUCCAGAAAGGAAAGGUCCUUAGUUCAAGGUGUAGAACAGCUGGGAUUUAAGUUUAAGGGCUUCGUAUUUGAUGGAUUCUUGGCAUUCUGUGAUGGAAGGAUGCUCUAAAUUUAAGGUGCCAAAUGCCUAGUAGUAUUAAACCGGGAUGUAUUGGCAUGCAUUGUGGUUCCUAUGUCUGUUUUCAUGCAUUGGCAUUUUGUUGGAAACCGGGAUGUAAUUUUUUCAUAUUUUGGUUACAAGUAAGUGUUAUUGACAAUUAUCCCCAUAUUAUUUGACAUGUGUUAGAAUGUAGAUCCUUAUAAAGUAUUUCAUGUUUUUAUGUUAGUGAUUGAUACUAGCUCUUUAUUUCUCUUCUAUAAUAACUAGAAUGACAGGUGAACUUCAUUGGAUUCAAUAGCCAUUACGUUAUGAGGAUGAUGAAGAAUGUACUUAUCAAUGCCCCUCAUAUCAAGCAUUUCUUGUCGAAACAGUUCACCUCCGACAAACCAUAUACUACUCAAGAAAUUGACGAAGUUAGAGAAAUGGGCAAUGUUAUAUUUACAAUUGG